AGCAGUAGGGAAUAUUGGGCAAUGGGCGAGAGCCUGACCCAGCCAUGCCGCGUGCCGGAUGAAGGCCUUCUGGGUCGUAAACGGCUUUUGCCAGGGAAGAAUAAGGGCCAUGCGUGGCCUGAUGACGGUACCUGGUGAAUAAGCACCGGCUAACUCCGUGCCAGCAGCCGCGGUAAUACGGAGGGUGCGAGCGUUGUCCGGAUUUAUUGGGUUUAAAGGGUGCGUAGGCGGUUUGCUAAGUCUGGGGUGAAAGCCCGUUGCUCAACAACGGAACGGCCCUGGAAACUGGUAGACUUGAGUACAGACGAGGGCGGCGGAAUGGAUGCUGUAGCGGUGAAAUGCAUAGAUAGCAUCCAGAACCCCGAUUGCGAAGGCAGCUGCCUAGACUGUAACUGACGCUGAGG
rnacentral:rRNA from 1 species